GACAGAGGUGCCAAGCGUUAGGCGGAAUCACUGGGCUUAAAGCGUGUGUAGGCGGAUCGUUAAGUACCUUGUGAAAUCCCACGGCUUAACCGUGGAACGGCUGGGUAUACUGGCGAUCUUGAGCCACCUAGGGGCGAGCGGAACAAAUGGUGGAGCGGUGAAAUGCGUAGAUAUCAUUUGGAACGCCAACGGUGAAAACAGCUCGCUGGGGUGUGCUGACGCUGAGACACGAAAGCCAGGGGAGCGAACGGG
rnacentral:rRNA from 1 species